AAGUAGAUGAUGGGAUUCCCACAAGGCAGAAACAUAGUGAUGCGAAUGAGGCAGCAUCUAGAAGGUUUGUCUGUGGCUGGGGUUCACUGGCAGAGCGCAGGCCCUCGGAGAGGAGAGGGCGAGAAUGACAAAGUUACUCCUCCAGACCCAUGACCCAGGGUUUAAAAACUGGAUAUCAAUGCAAUUCUUCAAGAAUUUUAGCAAUCACAUUAGGUUCCUGUGGCAAGAUCUUUGAAAGAUGAUCCUUGUUUACAUGCAAGAAUUCUCGUGCGUCUAUUAAAAAGCAGUCACACUUACAUGUAUGAGAUACAAAUCUCAGGAGUGGGGAAAGGAAAAGCUUCCAUUACAGUUAUGAGAGUUCAAGUAUCCAGAGCAAAACAGUUUUGCCUCAGAAAAUUCUGAUCAAGGUGGCCUUGGUGGUAAUUUCUCCUACAUGUGCAGCCCACAUGGCUACCUCGCCCAGUGCUUUUUAAUUCUUUCUAAGGAGAUGCUUCAUCCAUCAAUCGUCCAGACUCUUGCCCUAUGGAGACAUCUGCAUAGAGUUCAUAGCAAGACAUCCUCCCGAAGCUCUAAUCUAGUUCUCUAAGUUAGCAGAAGUGCUUUUGCAAAGCAAUAUGGUAAUGUAGCAGAGACCACAAGGAUGUCAGAAAGUCUCCUCCGAAGCAUUUAUUCUAAGGCCAUGUUAUUCAGAAGGCAAAAAAUAUGUGCAAGAAGAUGCUUCCUGCAAAUGCUACCUUUUAAAAAAUACCAGAAAUAUGAGGAGCAAACCAACUGCACAACAAUGUGGGAAUAAUUUAGGAAGUUACGGAAUAUUGUGCAAACACUGAGAUUUCUAAAUAUGCAGGCUUUGGAAGCAUAGAAACUGUUUUUGAUGUGCUGUUAAGUCAAAUGGCAGAAUUUGAAAAAGACAUUGCCUCGUGGCUGCAAGUCUAUAAAAUGUGUAAUCAUGGAUGAGCAGGGCUAGGUAAUGGGCAAAAACGAAACAUUACCUGAAGGUGCUGGAAAUAGAAUUUGUCCCUUCAAAAUAUUUGUUGACACUGUUGCUAUGAAAACUUAUCAACAAAAAAAAUGUUUAAAAUAAUUAAGUAAACCCAAGGCACCAAAGAUGUGAACGCCCCAAGGCUGGGUGCAAUGCUAUGCUCUUACAUACACUGAUUACACAAGAAAAUUCCUUCUCUGCUGUUUAGGCACAGAGUAUAGAUCACCUGCUGAUAUUUGCCUUCUCACCAUGGAAGGAAGCCACUACUGCCUGGUUUCACCUGAGGGCUUACCGGUGUCCAAAGGACCAAUUCCGAAGGCUUGGAAGAUGCCCCCACUCCAUCCCAGGCCCCAAGCUAGCUACUUCUUCAGAGCAUGUUUCAUUCCUUUCAUGAGGUCAUUAUUGUCAUUCCCUCUGGCCAUCCCUGAUGCUGGCCUUGGAACCUGCCCAUAUUCUGUCCAAAGGCUUUUUCUUCCCUCACUGCUGGCGCCGGAACUCAGCCCACUCUUAGGAAGCAGACAUUGGAUUAUAACCAACAACUUUGACUAUGAUUCUUCAAAAGACAGAUUUCUCCCACAAAUGAUAUUUCCCUCUCAAAAAAAAAAAAAAAAAAAA